rnacentral:rRNA from 1 species
GACGAACGCUGGCGGCGUGCUUAACACAUGCAAGUCGAACGGAAAGGCCUGCAGCUUGCUGCGGGUACUCGAGUGGCGAACGGGUGAGUAACACGUGGGUGAUCUGCCUUGCACUUCGGGAUAAGCUUGGGAAACUGGGUCUAAUACCGGAUAGGACAGCUGUUUAGUGUCAGUUGUGGAAAGUUUUUUCGGUGCAAGAUGAGCUCGCGGCCUAUCAGCUUGUUGGUGGGGUAAUGGCCUACCAAGGCGUCGACGGGUAGCCGGCCUGAGAGGGUGUACGGCCACAUUGGGACUGAGAUACGGCCCAGACUCCUACGGGAGGCAGCAGUGGGGAAUAUUGCACAAUGGGCGGAAGCCUGAUGCAGCGACGCCGCGUGGGGGAUGAAGGCCUUCGGGUUGUAAACUCCUUUCGACAGGGACGAAGCUUUUGUGACGGUACCUGUAUAAGAAGCACCGGCUAACUACGUG